GGAAUAUUGGUCAAUGGACGAGAGUCUGAACCAGCCAAGUAGCGUGCAGGAUGACGGCCCUAUGGGUUGUAAACUGCUUUUAUACGGGGAUAAAGUGACCCACGUGUGGGUUUUUGUAGGUAACGUAUGAAUAAGGACCGGCUAAUUCCGUGCCAGCAGCCGCGGUAAUACGGAAGGUCCGGGCGUUAUCCGGAUUUAUUGGGUUUAAAGGGAGCGCAGGCCGAUGGUAAGCGUGACGUGAAAUGCCGCGGCUCAACCGUGGAAGUGCGUCGCGAACUGCCGUGCUUGAGUAUGUUCGACGUAGGCGGAAUUUGUGGUGUAGCGGUGAAAUGCUUAGAUAUCACGAAGAACCCCGAUUGCGAAGGCAGCCUACGAGGCCAUCACUGACGCUAAAGCUCGAAGGUGCGGGUAUCGAACA
rnacentral:rRNA from 1 species